UUCUUAUAGACCUUAUGUUCCCACAUAAAAGUGCACUGGCUCGAAAGUGCAUCUUACACUGCUCGCUUCAGUGCAUUGCGUUUCAUUGGCCCCACUUCCGUUCGCUCUUUGUCUGUUUCUAUGCUCAAUAUUCCGCGGUACAUUGCGCUGCACGAAAACGAUAAGCGGGAUUCGCCGUCAGACAGCUUCUCCUGUUUAUCACACUUACACGAUAUUAGAGGGUUCUUGUACCAGGUGUGUUGAGGCAGCUUACGCACAUUCUACCGACAGUACACCCAGAAGAAUGGCAUCUACAAAUAGGCCCGUAACCUUCCUUGCAUACGUCCUAUUCUUGUCCAUGAUCCUUUCCGUUCUUUUCGAGGAGGUCCUCUGCUGUUACCAGAAAACAGAAAGCCAACCAAAAGUGACAGAGUCCGAUGGCUGCGUUAGACAUGAGAUCAAAUAUUAUUAUUAUGGCUACGGUACGAGAUUCCUGUGGUAUUGCCAAUAUGACUGCACAAAGAACGGAAAAGUUGAGAAGAGAAAUGAACCGGAUAAAGAGCAAUGCGCACGACCGUAAACAAUCUGGUGUACACAGGUGAUACCAGCUGAUCGAAACACUGAGAUGAAAGACAUUAAGACAGGAGAAUGUAAGUCUGGACACUGCCAUGUCUUUCCCUGGCCUUAUAAAGCCUGACAGCACAGUAUCCUCCAUUGCUCUUGACUUCAUCACCUGGUGUGCUGCUGGUCUUGGUUGAUUCCUGAAUAAAGUUACUGAAAAUUAAUUCCGCAUACAACUGUAUUUGCGUUGCGAAGUCGUCCACACUAGUAUGAGAUUUCGACAAAGGAAAAAUGUACCUUAUGCGUUUCGACAAAUAGGGAUGAUGUAGAUGCUUCUCACCACAACUAAAAUGUAAAGACACGUUCGUGUUUGUAGAUGUCACGCCUCCGGCCAGUGUUAUACAUUUUUGAUAAAGAGGUUACAAAAUUAUUUUGUUUUCCUCGGAAGGAAAGCGUUUUUCUGUGUCCAGAAUAGAAAUUUUACUUUGUCACGGGAGCGGUUUUUCUCGGGAGCGAAUUCAAACGGAGCAGCAAAGGGAGUACAGCUGGCAAGGAGCUAUGGUCAGCUGUCGUGCGGAGAUACAGUCAACAGCUUGACGAACUCACGGACUCAUGCAUCGUGAUAUGCCAGUGCCUUGCGGCGUGUGACAGCAGCUGUUAGUAUAUUAAGAAAAGAAAUUCGGAGAGGCAGGCAUGCCAAGGGAGCAGUCUACGCGACGCCAUCACAUGAGUUGGCCUGUGGACGCCUAAAUUUCGCGCAACAAAUUCACAACGCUGUAAGAGCCGAUCUGUUUUCAACAAGUGAAGAGUGAAGGAGCUGUAGCGACUCGUUGGGAACAACCGCAAAGCGGCAAGCCGAUAUUCCAUUCCAAGCGAUAUUCGAUUCCAAGCGAUAUAUUUUCUAUUAAAAAUCUGUUAUGCAGCUUAGAACAAUCUUUUUGGCCCUUGUUUGUGGGAUACGUACUUUUGGAUGUUUUAUGAGUCAAUAAUCAACCAAUCAUCCCUGGGGUCUUUCUACUAGGACACUCACAGAAAGAGGGAGUGAAUUAUCCACGUCAAGUGGAGACUCUAUUGCCUGCCGCCUGUGUCGACAAAUAUGGGAAUUUUCAAGUGGCUAGCUCUUGCGAGUCUCAGUUCCCUGAUCAACAGCGCGCCAUCAGCCUCGUUGAACAGGGUGAGCAGCAUCGAACCACCAGCAGUGACACAGACCAGGGAGAACAGCAAGGACUCGAGGACGUAGCCCACUCUGUACGCGCACAUAGUUGUCGGUAUUGUGAACUAGAAACAGUUUCCUUCCGUAGAUUUCAUAGCCACGAUGCACUUUGUGAAAAGUCGAAUUUCAUGUUUUCAUGCCAGUCAUGUGGGGCUACAUUUCAGUCUCAGCUACAAUGGCUACAGGCUAUUGGGAAUUUUGUGAUUCCAACCAGCUGCACCAGUGGAAAUAGAUCAAAGGAGCGAGUGCUCCAUACAGAUUGUUGAAAGGGUGGAGUUAGACGGGGAUGGGGCUAAUGAAAGUCGUCUUGCUACAGUCAGCAAAUUGGGGCAUUUGUUCAGGACUCUUGACGGGCACCACAGGUGCUCGAAGAAGGUUGUUGACACAGUGGUGGACUUUGUGGAACAGCUAAUGCUUGAGAAAGAUGUGCUGCUUAAUUCUGCCACAAUGAGCUCAGAUAAGGCCCGAAAACUACAUUAUGAGGCAUGUGGCCUUUAUGCUAAACCGGAACUUGUU